UGUUUGUUGUUUCCGAUUCGAUUUUUUUAAUCGUGUACUGAAAAUUUUGAGUGUAUUAUUUUCACCUUCACUGAAUUAUAAAGAUGGCCGAUGUUUUCUUUGUGCGGCUUUUCAACGGAAUGUGGCAAGUUCUGAUGGUCGCGAAUCCAACGUAAAAUUGCUGGUCCAGUUCCGGCCAAGGAUCCUGGAUUCCUGCUGUUAUCAGUGUUUUUCCCGCAUCGGAUCCACAACUAAGUCAGCAGAGGAUUUUUCUGGCUCCGGUUUCUUGACAACAGAGUGUUAUUAGUGAAAUGUUGAGUGAUUAAUCAGUUAAAUUUUAUAGUAAAUGAAGUCUUGAACAGUAUAAAUAAAAUAUAAACAAACAA